rnacentral:rRNA from 1 species
UCUGGUUGAUCCUGCCAGUAGUCAUAUGCUUGUCUCAAAGAUUAAGCCAUGCAUGUCUAAGUACAAACCUUAAUACGGUGAAACCGCGAAUGGCUCAUUAAAUCAGCUAUGGUUCCUUAGAUCGUCUCAUCCUACUCGGAUAACUGUGGAAAAUCUAGAGCUAAUACGUGCUUACAAGCCCUGACCUCACGGGAGGGGCGCAUUUAUUAGAUCAAAACCAAUCGGGGCUUGCCCCGUCUGCUUGGUGACUCUGGAUAACUUUUGUGCUGAUCGCAUGGCCUCUGCGCUGGCGACGUAUCUUUCAAGUGUCUGCCCUAUCAACUUACGAUGGUAGGUGAUAUGCCUACCAUGGUUAUAACGGGUAACGGGGAAUCAGGGUUCGAUUCCGGAGAGGGAGCCUGAGAAACGGCUACCACAUCUAAGGAAGGCAGCAGGCGCGCAAAUUACCCACUCCCGGCACGGGGAGGUAGUGACGAAAAAUAACGAUACGGGACUCUUUUGAGGCCCCGUAAUUGGAAUGAGUACACUUUAAAUCCGUUAACAAGUAUCUAUUGGAGGGCAAGUCUGGUGCCAGCAGCCGCGGUAAUUCCAGCUCCAAUAGCGUAUAUUAAUGUUGCUGCAGUUAAAAAGCUCGUAGUUGGAUCUGAGGACUCGAAUUGGUGGUGCACCAUACGGUGUUACUGCCGAUUCGGCCUACCUAGUCGGUGCUCGCUCUUGGUGUUCUUAAUUGAAUGCCCUGAGUGCCCGGCAAGUUUACUUUGAAAAAAUUAGAGUGCUCAAAGCAGGCCAUUAGCCGGAAUACUUCAGCAUGGAAUAAUGGAAUAGGACUUCGGUUCUAUUUUGUUGGUUUUCGGAACCCGAGGUAAUGAUUAAGAGAGACAGACGGGGGCAUUCGUACUGCGGUGUUAGAGGUGAAAUUCUUGGAUCGCCGCAAGACGAACAACUGCGAAAGCAUUUGCCAAGAAUGUUUUCAUUAAUCAAGAACGAAAGUCAGAGGUUCGAAGACGAUCAGAUACCGUCCUAGUUCUGACCAUAAACGAUGCCAACUGGCGAUCCGAGAUCGUUUGCUUAUUGACCUCUCGGGCAGCCUCCGGGAAACCAAAGUUUUUAGGUUCCGGGGGAAGUAUGGUUGCAAAGCUUUUCUGUUCCAAACACCAAGUGGUCGGGUUACUUGGUCUGUUCUGGCCCGGAGUCGGUAGGGUUUCCGGCCUUGUGCUCUUUCCUUACUGUUCUCUGUAACGCCGAAGGCGGGGCUUCCACGGUGGGGAAGCGGUUGUACAAAUCCGGCAAAUCCAGCCAAAUGGGUUCCGGACUCUGUCCAACCUGCAACUGGUAACAGCCUCGGCUGGCUAACAUUUGAGCUGGGACUCGCUUGGGAGGAGCGAGGAUAAUAUAAACCUCUAUGUGACUGAGGUGAGGAAUCUGGUUCUCGUAAAAUGGCUGGAGAUCCCGAGCCUGUAAGUCAUAAAUUAGUUCCCCCACGAGGGGAGGUGUCGAAUUGAAGCCAGUGCGUGCCCUUACUAGUUUAAGGGAUUGUAUACUUCCUUUGGUGUACCCACCUGGAAGUGCCCAAGGGGUCCUAUCCCUGCACUCCAUCCCCGAUUGGAGUCAGGUGACGGCUCCUUA